GGGGCCGUGGUCUAGUGGUAUGACGCCGCCCUCACACGGCGGAGGUCGCCGGUUCGAGUCCGGCCGGCCCCA
rnacentral:tRNA from 1 species